ACUCCUACGGGAGGCAGCAGUGGGGAAUAUUGCACAAUGGGCGCAAGCCUGAUGCAGCCAUGCCGCGUGUGUGAAGAAGGCCUUCGGGUUGUAAAGCACUUUCAGUUGUGAGGAAGGUGGUGUCGUUAAUAGCGGCAUCAUUUGACGUUAGCAACAGAAGAAGCACCGGCUAACUCCGUGCCAGCAGCCGCGGUAAUACGGAGGGUGCGAGCGUUAAUCGGAAUUACUGGGCGUAAAGCGCAUGCAGGUGGUUUGUUAAGUCAGAUGUGAAAGCCCGGGGCUCAACCUCGGAACUGCAUUUGAAACUGGCAGACUAGAGUACUGUAGAGGGGGGUAGAAUUUCAGGUGUAGCGGUGAAAUGCGUAGAGAUCUGAAGGAAUACCGGUGGCGAAGGCGGCCCCCUGGACAGAUACUGACACUCAGAUGCGAAAGCGUGGGGAGCAAACAGGAUUAGAUACCCUGGUAGCACAGAG
rnacentral:rRNA from 1 species